GUGGGGAAUAUUGGACAAUGGGCGAAAGCCUGAUCCAGCCAUGCCGCGUGUGUGAAGAAGGUCUUCGGAUUGUAAAGCACUUUAAGUUGGGAGGAAGGGUAGUAACCUAAUACGUUGCUACUUUGACGUUACCGACAGAAUAAGCACCGGCUAACUUCGUGCCAGCAGCCGCGGUAAUACGAAGGGUGCAAGCGUUAAUCGGAAUUACUGGGCGUAAAGCGCGCGUAGGUGGUUCAGUAAGUUGGAAGUGAAAUCCCCGGGCUCAACCUGGGAACUGCUUUCAAAACUGCUGGGCUAGAGUACGGUAGAGGGUGGUGGAAUUUCCUGUGUAGCGGUGAAAUGCGUAGAUAUAGGAAGGAACACCAGUGGCGAAGGCGACCACCUGGACUGAUACUGACACUGAGGUGCGAAAGCGUGGGGAGCAAACAGGAUUAGAAACCCGGGUAGUCC
rnacentral:rRNA from 1 species